rnacentral:hammerhead_ribozyme from 1 species
AUCUAGCUGGAGAGUCCCAAACAGGACGAAACACGAGUCCUGGAU